ensembl:snRNA U6 U6 spliceosomal RNA
GUGCUCGCUUUGGCAGCACAUAUACUAAAGUUGGAAAGAUACAGAGAAGAUUAGCAUGGCUCCUGCACAAGGAUGACACGCAAAUUAGCAAAGCGUUCCAUAUUUUU